rnacentral:antisense_RNA from 1 species
UGUAGGAGCUGCCGUAGGCUGCGAUCUUUUGAUCUUGAUGUUUAAAAAUCAACAGAUCGCAGCCUACGGCAGCUCCUACA